rnacentral:rRNA from 1 species
UUUCCUACGGGAGGCAGCAGUGAGGAAUAUUGGUCAAUGGGCGGGAGCCUGAACCAGCCAAGUCGCGUGAGGGAAGACGGUCCUAUGGAUUGUAAACCUCUUUAGGCGGGGAGCAAUGCCGGGCACGCGUGCCCGGAGGGAGAGUACCCGCAGAAUAAGCGUCGGCUAACUCCGUGCCAGCAGCCGCGGUAAUACGGAGGAUGCGAGCGUUAUCCGGAUUUAUUGGGUUUAAAGGGUGCGUAGGCGGAAUGCCAAGUCAGCGGUAAAAUCGCGGGGCUCAACCUCGCUCCGCCGUUGAAACGGGG